rnacentral:snRNA from 1 species
AGCUUUGCACAGUGCCAUUAUGGUAGUCAGUGAGGUUUAUCUGAGGUGUGAUGAUUGCUAAUUGAAAACUUUUCCCAAUACCCUGCCAUGAUAACUUCAAAUGCUUUCAGAUGAAU